UGCUACUGGAAAGUUGCACACUGCCAGAUGGU
rnacentral:piRNA from 1 species